ensembl:lncRNA
GUAAUAGGAUUGAAAAAUUGGUUUGUCAUUUAUUAAAGAAUCAUAGCUUCAGUAAAGUAAAUAGGAUAAUCUCAGAUCUUAACAUUUCUCAUCGAUCAUAUCUGUAAUGUACUUUUCUAGAUGAUGAUCAUGAGAAGUGAGGUUGAAUCGGAGCUUCAGCCAUUAGAACACAAAGACAAGGGAAUAUUGUGUUCUGUUCUGGUGAAACCUGUUUGUUUACAUGGCAGUCCAAAGGUCAACCAUCUGUAACCUGUAUAAUCUGCAAAGCAGGAAUUUUUUGACUGCACCGACUGGAGUGUUUUUGAAGCUGCAACUCUCAACCUGGACAAACUGACUGAGGAGUCCUUUGCCACCGUAUCCUUUCGCCGCUGUCCUCUGAAUGGAGCUUCUGGAAGCUCCCAGCCCUGCAGGACACCUACCACACACGAUGCCUCAGGAAAGCUGGCAGGAUCCUAAAGGACUGCUACCACCCAGCUUUCAGACUUUUUACCCCGCUGCCCUCUGGAAGGCGGUACCGUAGCAUCCGGUCUCGCACACGCAGACUGGAGAACAGCUUUUACCCCAGGGCCAUCAGGCUGCUAAAUGGACAUUGAUACUACACCGCCACUUUUGCACUCGUCACUUACAUGCACUGUCACUGUCACUUUCAUAUUACUGUUUGCACUACACUUACAUAUACUGUCACUUCCAACCUACUGCUUGCACUAGCAGUAAUACCUUAUCAGGAAAAUUGCACUACCUGUAACUCCCUCACUGGGUUGUAUGUAGGUUAGUAUAGGUCAAUAGGGUAGCAUAGUUUAUUACAUGUGUAUUAUAUGUUAUAUGUAUAUAUGUUAGUAUUAUAUGUAUAGGCUGCUAUAUGUAUAUUUAGUAUUAUAUGUAUAGGUUGUUAUAUGUUUAGUACACCGUAUUGUAUAUUUAUCUUGUAUAUUUAGUAAGGUUAUUUAUAUGUUUAUUAUGUGUAAAUUAUGUUCAUAGUACUUGUGCAGAGUGUACGUCAUGGUUAUGUUAUGUAUAUUAUGUGUUGUUAUGUUAUGGUAGGUUUGGGCGGCGUCUUGUCGCAAGAAUUUCAGUGCCCAGUCUGAC